GAUGUUAAACUGAAAGUGAAACUUACAGUGAAUCCUGAGCUACUAGAAGACAACAUUUGACAAAGACCAAACGUUUUUCAAAGUUCUAUCUUUUAUAUGACCACAGAACAAAGAUCUACAGUAGUGUGGAUUACUCCUGUGAAAUUUUGGCCUGCUAGAGAAACCUCACCUCGCUCUCAAUGAACACUUCAUUCUGUUACCCAGAUUUUCUACCUAACAUGGAAAACAUACUGUCUGUAAAGCGUGAACUGAAAGAAAAUAACAUUACAGACAGCACCCUUCUCUCAAACUUGGACUUUGCUGAGAGAUUCUUUAGAGAUCAUCCUCUAAAACAGUCCUCAAAAUUGGUGGUUAAAGGAGAUUACUUUUGUGUACAAAUUGGUGAGGAUGCCACGUAUGUUUUUACCGUAACAUCAGAAGACAACCAAACCCAUGUCAAUGUCUUUACCCUUUCACGUAAUAAUAAAAUAUUUUCGAUUGAGGCCAAUGCAUUUUACCACCACACCUGCCAGGAUGAGAUUAAAUCCUGUUUUACACAAGCUCAAGAAGCUGUUACUAAAGAGGAUCUGACAAGUCUACACAUCAAAUGCAACAGGUUCUCAGUCACUUAUGCCACUCGCUAUAAAGGUCCAUGCACAACUGUGGAAACUAAAUGUCGGUUAAAGCUAGAGAACAUCACUGCUGAGGGUUUACUCUACAAAAAGGUUUGGUUGCAGAAAGAAAAGCCCACAUGUCAUGGUUUGAUAGCAUGUCUAGACCAUCUCAUUACACAAUACCUUACCGCACCUGAUGCUCCAAAGAGCAACUGUAGUUUCAUCAUACAUGCAGACAAAGAAGUAAUGAGAAUCACUACAGGUGAACAAGAUGAAAGAGAGUAUGUUUUGCUACACAAUGGUAAAGGAUUUUCAAUGUAUCCUCCAUCAUGGCAAUAAACAGUGGUUUGCACAUGGGUGUGGCGGGGGGAUGGGGGGGGUUAAUCACCAACUUUCAAAUAUUGUACCAUACAAUGCCACUACAGUAUAUUACAGUACAGUAUAUUCAAUAUGUAUUUUUAUUAUUAUUUUGUGGCAAGCAAAAAGAUUUACAUCUGCAUGAUAUUUUAACUGUGUACACAGGCAAAAAAUUAUUGUAAUAGAUUCUGUUAUUCUGUACACAGUUCAUUCAUCACCAUCAAAGUAUCGUGAAAUAGGCUAUGUAAAUAAACAGCUUGAAUCUUUGUUAUUUGUGAAGUUUAGUUCUUUGUUUCGCAUGUGUUUUGCCUUCAAUGUUAAAGAUCAGUGUAUGAUUAGAUAUCACUGUAUAAAUCGAUGUACAAAAACAAUUUUUUUUUUUUUUUAAUAAAAAAAAAAUUUCAUCCAAA